rnacentral:tRNA from 1 species
CGGGGACUAGCUCAGUUGGUAGAGCGCACGGUUUGGGACCGUGAGGCCGUGAGUUCGAAUCUCUCGUCCCCGA